UCCCCUUGCAAUAAAUACCAGCAUUCCAUUUACCUUACUAAUCAUCUGUUGUACCUGCAAAUUAAUAUCUUGCAUAAUUUUUGUAUCCAUCUUAUCUUCUGUAUGUUUCCACGUGUGAAGGAUCAACAUCCACCAACUGAGUACCAGUACCCCUUUGGAUCCCUUCCAAAGCCAUCUUUUACUUGAACCUCACUCCUUGCCGAGUAUUCACAAUACCCUUGUGACCUUCCUUUCUCUGACUCAGUAAAGGUCUCUGACUCAUCCGUUUUUGUGUCCACCGCAAUUAAUUUCAAGCUUGGCCUAAUGGUAACCUCGUCCCCUGACCAGAUCACAGAAAUAAUUCACAAGGGGCCAGCCAAUCCUUGCAGGAAUUGAGAUAAUCUGGAAGUAAGGCACUUCAGGCUACUUGAUUUUUGUAUGUAGACAGUCAGGACUCACUCGGUUUGUCAUGUCCUGUUUAACACUAGAGUAAUUCCAGAUUUUGCAAUGUAGCAAGUGCAUCUCAGCUUAAGACAGCAAAAGGUAACAGUUCUCCUAAUUAAUGAAGGCUCAUUAGGAUACUCUGCCUACCUAACUGGCAUAUUUAAAUUAAUGCCUUUUUUGGUUUCAAACACGAUCUGAUGAUUUUUAAAAAAAAUUUGUCAUUUUCUUCAAACAUAGCCUCAAUAACACUGCUCUUCACGAGGCUGCUGAGAUGGGAGCUCAAGGAGUGAAAUGUGCAGCUGUUUUACUUGGUUGCAAUGCAAGUAUAAAGAAGAAAAAUGAUAAAGCUUUAACAGCAUAUGAUAUAGCUGUCAAAAACGGCAAUGACCAACUUACCUCACUGUUUGCUGCAAAAAUGGGACAAGGAAUGUUAGAUAAAUUCUCAAAGACCAAGCAUGUCAGCCUAGAUGUCUUUUAAUACUUCCUUGAAGGUUCAGGCACAUUGAGCACCAAAGCUGUUUCUCAGUGCAAAUGUUCAUGUACAUUUUAUUUUAUUGAACCUACGUUUUGCAACUGGACAUGAAAGCAUUUCCAGGAGAGACAGCAAGUUCAGGCUCUGAGAAAGUCAAUCGUUCUGCAGCUAUAUGUUUUUUGGAAGCCCUUGUUAUUUUGAAAAGACUCACAAUGGAUAUUCCACCAAAGGGAGAAAGAGGAGUCUUCAUGUUCUUUUCCAAUAUGAAAUUGACUUACUGGUUUUGAUCCAGCAUGUCUUUUAUAAGUUUCAUGAGAAAAAUUUAACUGUAAAUCCAAGGAUUGCACUACUUUUCCACAGAACCCUAAAACAUUUUGUAGCAGAACAUUCCUAAUGUGACAUUACAUAUGCAGUUCAACUUAAAUAAAUGUGAAAUAAAAAUCUUUA